GACGAACGCUGGCGGCGUGCUUAACACAUGCAAGUCGUACGGUAAGGCCCUUUCGGGGGUACACGAGUGGCGAACGGGUGAGUAACACGUGAGUAACCUGCCCACAACUUUGGGAUAACGCUAGGAAACUGGUGCUAAUACUGGAUAUGUGCUCCUGCUGCAUGGUGGGGGUUGGAAAGCUCCGGCGGUUGUGGAUGGACUCGCGGCCUAUCAGCUUGUUGGUGGGGUAGUGGCCUACCAAGGCGGCGACGGGUAGCCGGCCUGAGAGGGUGACCGGCCACAUUGGGACUGAGAUACGGCCCAGACUCCUACGGGAGGCAGCAGUGGGGAAUAUUGCACAAUGGGCGCAAGCCUGAUGCAGCAACGCCGCGUGCGGGAUGACGGCCUUCGGGUUGUAAACCGCUUUCAGCAGGGACGAAGCUUUUUGUGACGCUACCUGCAGAAGAAGCACCGGCUAACUACGUG
rnacentral:rRNA from 1 species